UGUGAAGACUUGCAGCCCGGCAUAUGGUCUGUUUUGUUGAACGUUCCAUGUGCACUUGAGAAAAAUGUCUGUUCUGUUGUUGGGUAGGUUGUUCUCUAAAUGUCACGUAAGUAAGGUGAGUAAGGUGGUUGAUAGUGCUGUUUAGGUUUUAGUGGUUUUCUGCUCUCUUGUUCUAUCACUUCCUGAGACAGGAGUGUUGAAGUUUUCAACCAUUUCUCCAUUCAUUUCUCGCAGCUUUUUCUUUGCUUAUUUUGAAGCUCUAUAGAUUGGUGUAUGUACUUACAGAAUUUUUAAGUCGUUAUGAUGAACGGAUCCUGUAUUAUUAUGAAUUAUCCUUUUUAUCUCUGAUAAUAUUACUUGUGUUGACGUUGACUUUGAUAAUCACAGAGCCACUCCACUCUCUCAUGAUUAGCGAUUGGUUGGAAUACCCUUUUCCUUACACUUACGUUUAACCUAGCUAUGUCUUUUUGUUUGUUUUUGUUUUUUAAGGGACAGGGUUUUGGGCCAGACGUAGUGGCUCACACCUGUAAUCCCAGCACUUUGGGAGGCCAAGGCAGGCGGAUCACCUGAGGUCAGGAGUUUGAGACCAGCCUGGCCAACAUAGUGAAAACUCCAUCUCCACUAAAACUACACAAAAAAAUUAGCUGGAUGUAGUGGCACAUGCCUGUAAUCCCAGCUACUUGGGAGGCUGAGGCAGGAGAAUUGCUUGAACCCAGAAUGUGGAGGUUGCAGUGAGCUGAGAUCACACCAUUGCACACCAGCCUGGGUGGCAAAGCAAGACUGUCUCAAAAAAAAGGAACAGGAUUUUGCUGUGUUGCCCAGGCUGCAGUGCAGUAGCAGGAUGAUAGCUCAUUGCAGCCUUGAGCUCCUGGCCUCCAGUGAUCCUCCCACCGUGGCCUCCCAAAGUGCUGGGAAAACAGGUGUGAGCCACCACCCCCGCCAGCCUCAGUGUCAUGGUGAUGUUCACUUUCAUAGCACGUGUUUCGUGUGUUUUUCCCUAGAAUGGAUGAUGAACUCGUUGUUGGACAUAGUGCGAGAUCAGACAUCUCCAGCUUCCCUUGUACAUCUGGCUUUUAAAUUUCUUUACAUCAUCACCAAGACUUGGGAAACCCGCUACAUGCUUUUGCUAUGGCUCUCUGUGACCUGCCUGAUUCCUUUUGAUUUUUCUCACCUUGACGUGAACCUCGUCACCCAGCCUGGGCAAACACGAAUGUCCAUAAUGGACCGUAUUCUCCAAAUAGCAGAGGUAAAUAUUAUGCAGAUAAUUAGCUGCCAGUUUGUAUUCUCUAUCAUGUUCAUGCUGUCUUGAUAUCAGUGUUUAACUCAGUAAGCUUUUGAUAUAUAUUUAUCCAGGUGUUGUUUUUUUCAGUGAGGUGAACUCCCACGUGGUAACUUACUUUGAAACUGUGGUAAUUCAUGUAGGGGUUGGGUUGAAUUAGUAAAUCUUGUUUCUUUGUGGGUAAUGCAGAUACUCUGUUGAGGGUAAUCAUGGCAGAUAAGGGGUUUAGUGGCAAUGGUAAGAGAAAAUAAGGCCCAUUUUACAUUUAGUCCUUAACAUUAUGUAAAUAAUACACAUUUACUUGUAGGAAAACUAGAAAACAAAGAUAGGCGAGAAAAAUACUGAAUUUAAGUUUAUCAAAUUCUGGUGCCAAGAGAUGAUUGUUGUUUAUUUUCUUUAAACUUUUCCUGAUGUAAAUAUUCUGCAUAUAAACACAGCUUAUUGUAUUAGUUAUCUAUUGCUUCAUAAAUAACCCAAACUUGAAUGUUGGACGCACAUUUAUCCUCACGUAGUUUCUGUGAGUUGGGAGUCUAGCAUGGCUGAGAUGGGUCCUCUGUGUCAAGCUUGCCGACAGCUGCAGUCAAAACUUGAGGUGGGCAGCCUCUGCCCCAAGCCCAUUGGAGUGAGGCCGCCCUCAGUUCACUGCCACCUGGGCCCCUCCAGCAUAGUGGCUUAUUCCAUCAAAGACUGCAAGGGAGAGACCCUGCUAAUGAGUUGGAAGUCAUGGUAAUAUGUUACCUGAUGUGGAAGUGACAUCCCAUACCUCUACCAGAUCCUGUGGUUAGCAGCAAGUCGCCGAGUCCAACCCAGACAAGUGAGCACUAGGAGCCUAUCAGGCUAUGAGCCAUUUUGGUCGCCACGGUCUUCCUGCCACACUGACUGCGAUAGCCCUGGUCAGCAUUCACUGAGUGCCUGCCGUAUGCUUGGCACCAUUCAGACACUCAUAGAUUAAUCUUUAAUCACUUAUGGAUUAAUAAUUUAACCUAUACGUUGGGCUGGGCACAGUGUUUUAUGCCUGUAGUCUCUGCUCUUUGGGAGGCUGGGGCGGGCAGAUCACAUGAGAUCAGGAGUUUGAGAUCACCCUGGCCAACGUAGUGAAACCCUGUGUCUACUAAAAAUACAAAAAUUAGCUGGGUCUGGUGACACAUACCUGUAAUCCGAGCUACUCAAUAGGCUGAGGCAGGAGAAUUGCUUUAGCUUGGGAGGUGGAGAUUGCAGUGAGCCGAGAUUGCGCCACUGCACUCCUGCCUGGGCAACAGAGUGAGACUGUCUCAAAAAAAAAAAAAAUUAACUUAUACAUUGAUGAUUUAUAGAUCAUCAGUGAUUAAUUUAUUAACUGUGGUUAAUAAUCAUUUAAUUUUCCUUCACGAGGCUGUUGACAAUUCUUAUCCUCAUAUAACUAAGGAGGCAACAGGCAUAAAAAUAAAUAACUUAGUGUGCUUUGCUCCUAAGCGGUGGCCCCAUGUUAGAAUCCGGGCGAUUUGUCUCUGGACUCUGUGCUCUUCAUCAGGGCUCGAUGCUGCCCCGUGACCUGCUGUUCUGAGGCCUUUUUCCCCUUAGCAGCAUGUUCUGAGUGUCUUGUGAUGUCAGAAGUGUCCCCCUCAUAAUUGCUAUGGGAAAAGUACUCUGUUGUAACCUGACUUAAAAGUUCUCUCUGAUAGAUGGACAUUUUGUUUGUCCUAGUUUUGUUAUGUUAGAAGUAGUGUGGUGAUGAAGAACCUUUUGCCCACCCUCAUUUACCUGUCUGCUGAGAGGGACUUCCAGGUCAAAGGGAGCACGGUAUGUGAAGACUUGACAGUCUGUGAUCGUCCUUAGAAAGCCUGCCUUGGACAAAAAGAUUUUCUAAGUGUAUCAUUUUGGGGAAGAAAAGUAGCUAAGACGAGCAUUGCAAACCUUUUAAGGCAGCCCUCCUAAAAAUAAAUCUAGCUGGGUGUUGUGGUUUCACGCCUGUAAUUCCAGCACUUUGUGA
rnacentral:lncRNA from 1 species